rnacentral:rRNA from 1 species
GAUGAACGCUGGCGGCGUGCCUAAUACAUGCAAGUCGAGCGAACAGACGAGGAUCUUGCUCCUCUGACGUUAGCGGCGGACGGGUGAGUAACACGUGGAUAACCUACCUAUCAGACUGGGAUAACUUCGGGAAACCGGAGCUAAUACCGGAUAAUAUAUUGAACCGCAUGGUUCAAUAGUGAAAUACGGUUUUGCUGUCACUUAUAGAUGGAUCCGCGCCGCAUUAGCUAGUUGGUAAGGUAACGGCUUACCAAGGCAACGAAGCGUAGCCGACCUGAGAGGGGGAUCGGCCACACGGGAACGGAGACACGGUCCAGACUCCUACGAGAGGCAGCAGUAGGGAAUCUGACGCAAUGGGCGAAAGCCUGACGGAGCAACGCCGCGUGAGUGAUGAAGGUCUUCGGAUCGUAAAACUCUGUUAUUAGGGAAGAACAAAUGUGUAAGUAACUAUACACGUCUUGACGGUACCUAAUCAGAAAGCCACGGCUAACUACGUG